UUAAGUUCAGCGGGUAGUCUCACCCGAUUUGAGGUCAAGGGUUCGUGGGGUUGAGAGAGUUUCCCGAGAAGGGAGACACGCCCAAACGUUGUCUCAAUGCGAUGCUGAGACGGUUAGAAGCGGGUCCCAAGGGCAACAGAGCCAGAAACCAAGACAUGGAAACAUCUUAUCACACGUCGAGGAUCGGCAAUGAGGACCCC
rnacentral:misc_RNA from 1 species